rnacentral:rRNA from 2 species
UGACCUCAAAUCAGGUAGGACUACCCGCUGAACUA